CGGGUGAGUAACGCGUGAAUAACCUGACUCAAAGAGGGGGAUAACAACGGGAAACUGUUGCUAAUACCGCAUGAGACCACAACACCGCAUGAUGAAGGGGUCAAAGAUUUAUCGCUUUGAGAGGGGUUCGCGUCCCAUUAGGCAGUUGGAGGGGUAACGGCCCACCAAGCCAACGAUGGGUAGCCGAGCUGAGAGGCUGAUCGGCCACACUGGAACUGAGACACGGUCCAG
rnacentral:rRNA from 1 species